rnacentral:lncRNA from 1 species
CCCGGCGGCGCUCGCUGCAGCGGCGGUGCCCCUGCGGGGAGGGAGCCGUCCGUCCGCCGCGGCGCCUGGGGCCGUGUUACGGGCGGGGGCAACGCCGGGGCCCGCAGCUGCGCCCCCCGUUCAGAGCAGUGUUUGAUCGGCGCCGCGGGGGGAGAGGACGGCCUUCCCGCCCUGAAACGCCGGCGGGAAGCGGGCAUGGCCCCCCGCCUGGGAGAGGAGGCGUGCGAGCAACUGGCAGGAGCAGCGCGGAGGUCUCCAUCCCGSCGAGCUGAGCCGUCGAGAAGGCGCUUUCAUCCCAGGCAGGCUGCGUGUUCUCGUUCCUCCUCCGCAGCGUGUCAAGGCCUUGUUCAAAGCCUGCUGAAGCCAGUGGGAACAAGUGGAUUUUGAGUCAGGUCCUGUAGCACUGGCUGAUUUUGGGUUUUUUUUUUUUCCUCCCCCAGCUUGUGUUCCCUGACCGUGUUGGCGGUUGUGUCGUUUGCUCCRGUGCUUCGUUCCCCGGGGCCCUGCGGCCCGGUGUCGGCCCUGGCGUGCUCCUGCACCCCCAGGAGCCCCAGGAGAGGUUACUCRUACCGGUGCGUGGGCGCUGACUAAUCAGCGAGGAUUAAGUCUUAAGGCUUAAAGAAUUUAAUCAGAAUGUCGGCUGGGGGUGAGAGGAAGCUUGAGUCACAGGUGACGUCGCGGGGAACCCAGUGCACUCCUCUCUCAGCUGGGUGCAAAGGGAGCUGCAGCUAGUUAGUGUUUCUUUUACCACAUGAUGAACGGGGAAGUUUUUUUUCCUUUUUCUUCUCAAAAGAACAAUUUGUAUCUUGUAAGCAAUUCAUACAACUCCUGUAGUUCUUAAAUAUUUGGCAAACACAAUUAUCAGUCUUUACCUUACACUCGAAUGUUACUAUAUAAAACCGAAUAAAACAUGAUAUUUCAGUUUCUGCUAUUCUACU